UUGUAUAUCAUCAUCAAUUCUGAUGAAUUCAACUCUGUGCACUAUAACCAUUGACUGUCGAUUUGGUUAGAAGGCGGCGUGGGCAUCUGUUUACGUGCGCGCUACCGGUCGACUACUCUGUUUACGUACCUGAUAAAACUUUUAUACUUAUAUUAAAAUUGUAAUUAAAAUA
rnacentral:misc_RNA from 1 species